rnacentral:lncRNA from 1 species
GGGCUACUCAACUAUCCUGUAGAUGAUUUUGGUGUUGAUUCCAUCAGGCACUGGUUCUAACAUCAAACCUCCAGUGUGAUCUUCCAGGGACUGUACAUCGCAACGGAUAUUGCCAAGCUACAACACAGUAAACCAAUGGAAACGAUCGGUGCCAAUCCAAAAUUGACUGAGAAUUGGCAACAACACAGUAAACUAAUGGAAAAGGUGCCAAUCCAAAAUUGACUGAGAACAAUCGAUAUCCACCGCAUGUGUGCUCAUGGUUAGCUCCCACCUGUUAGGACACAUCCAGAUAUCUAGGAGUUGAGUUGGAUCAGUAAUCAAUUCCAGCUGGCCCCUACUUCUGCAAGAUCUAUU